AGGGUCUUCUCACUUCAAGCUUGCAUCCUUUUCUCUUUCAAAGUGAGUGUAUCUCUUGAUUUUAUUUACGCUCAAUGGUUAGUUAUUUUUUAUAGUCUCCAAGUUGCAAUCUAUUGUUGUGUGUUACUUUUCGUUUAGAUGCUGUUGUUCUUGACUUAUGUUCAUGUAGUUUUUAUAAACUAAAAAUUAUGGGGGUGUGGCACAAACGUGAUUUGGAUGUGUGUUGGUAAUUGUUAAUUAUGAAUAGAAAGCACCAUCCUUGUUCAUUGAA